UCUCCGUUGGUGAACCAGCGGAGGGAUCAUUACAGGACUCGCAAGACUCCUACCACCCUGUGAACUUAACUAUAAGCACGUUGCUUCGGCGGGUGUCUCGGAGGGGGUUCUCCCUCCCCGAGACGCUAAACCCGCCGGCAGCCUACUAUACUCUGUCUCUUUGCGUUGGCAUCUCGAGUACAAUCAAACAAGUUAAAACUUUCAACAACGGAUCUCUUGGUUCUG
rnacentral:misc_RNA from 1 species